UUUCCUACCUCCUUUCCCUUCUAUCCAAUUAUUCAGCAUCUGCCACUUAGCCCAUGCAAAGUAUAUUAAAUAAAAGAAAAAUGAGCCAGACACUGGUGGCUCAUACCUGUAACGUGAAUAGCCUCUAGCUACUCAGGAGGCUGAGAUCUGAGGAUCAUAGUUCAAAACCAGCUGGGGUGGAAAUAUCCCUGGGAGACUCUCAUUUCCUAUUAACCACUCAAAAACUGGAAGUGGCACUGUGGAUCAAAGUGGUAGAGAACCCCAUGACUGACGAUGACAAUAGCAGCAGCAACAAUGACAAAUAAACAUGAAGAAACUGAGUUCACAAUCCAUACUUGACCUUUUUUAGAAGCUAUUCCUCUUGGCAGACAUGGGAGGUCAUGUACCAAAGUUCACAUUUGUACUUUACCAUACCUACUUGAUAUUUUCCUAGUGUUGGCAUCACUGGGCAGUCUGACAAUUCUGUGAUAGUAUAAACCUUAUCAGUAGGUUCUGGAGUUCAUUUGGAUCACAGAAUAUUAGAACGGACCCAUCUCUGGGCCAUUGUCUCCAACAGAAGAGGAAGUAACUGUCACUCAGCACCUUUCAGAUUGUGCAAACCACAGCUCUGUGUGCAUCUGUGCCUUGGAGGCAAAGAUGGUAGCUAGCCCUUGUUACCUGUCACCUAUGAUGAGUCAUGAAAGGAGACACUUAGCUUCCACAAUGGUUGCCUCUCCCAGUGCAAACACUCCCCACCUAGGGUACUAACUGAUCCUAAUACUUAUCAUUUGCCUAAACAAUGAGAGAUAUGAGGUAGGUCGUUUGAUAUCAUUCUGUGACGGCAGCUCUGAGAGGGACUAAGUUCAAAACUCUACCUGGUUUGUGUGUGGAGAUUCUGGAGCACACAUCUACAAAGGUCCUUGUGGGCCUUGUGGGUGGUAUGUUAGCAGUUCAUUUUGAAAUCAGGAUGGAAUCCCUCCUGUGUGUUUUCAGUCCUCUGCGUUAAUGGCGUGAGCCUUGAUCUCCAGGAAAAGUCCAGUGAGGUAGUGGUUAGCGAUUUGCUUCCGGCAAGUUGGAAUGUUAAGGGUGCAAUAUUACCAACUCGCCACAAGGGGGCAGAGAGCUCUAUUUUUUUUAACUGAAAUUUAGCGGGCUAUAUAUAGGAAGCAUCGGAAAUGCUAACAUCCGACCUAUCACAGUAGUUAAGCCCGAAGGAACAUAGAGGAAAAAAAACAACAACAACAGAGAAUCUUCCUGACCUAUUUCGUAUGGGUGGUGUCACGAAUGAACACAAGUAUGUUUGUUUUGAAAGCCUGGCUGUGCAGAUUUGGGCUCUAGAUUUCGUGGAAGUGUGUGUCCAUGCCAGAUCACAAUCACCGGCGGCGGCGGUGGGGGGGGGGGGCUCUUAAAUAUCCUGGGAAAUCUGCUGCACCCCAUCCAUCUAGGGGUGACAGUGUGGCAACGGGGUUCUGCACGUUGGAGAGCUCCCCAGGUGAGCGCGAGGUGGAGUCACGCCUCUGUGAAUCAGCGGAGCUUGAACGUGAUAGGAAACACCUGGCUGUCUCUCCUACUUUGAACUGGGACUUAAAGAAGAAACCCAGCACUCAGGCUGAUCACGUGGCUCCGUGAGCAGACGUCUCAGCGGGAUCUGGGGACAGAAGGUGACCCAGUGCUCCACGCUGCACCGCAACUCCAGCUGUCGGACAUUUUCCUGCAGACUGCGGGCUGAGGCUUUUCGUAAAGUACACAAUGAAUUGCCUGAGAAAUCAGAUCUAUAACACAAGACACGCUUUCUGGGCUGAAAUAAAUUUCCUCUGUCAAACUGAUAUAAAAAUUCACAAGCACUCCCAAUUUCUGUUGUUGUCUUU